rnacentral:lncRNA from 1 species
UGUUCCAUGCAGUUCCUGGCACACAGGAAGCCCUUGAUGAAGAAGUUGCUGUGCCUGAACAGCAGCAGCGGCUCCUGGUCUCCACUGAUGGCUACCUGCCUAGCCCAGUCAGAAUAGUCGGUCCUUAGGCAGUAUGGCCCACUCUGUCCUGCCCUGCCCUGCCCCGAGUGGCUGAGAUGGGUCUGUGUGGAUCCGGGUCCCUCUAAUCUAACCUCUGCUGGGAUUGGGGCAAGUCAUAUUCACUGCAGGACCUAGAGUGUCCAAGCCCCAGGACCUUAGAGAAAGCAGUCCUGACGGAUCCUUUCCUUCCUGCCGAUUCACCACACUGCCUGCAUUCCCAGUGAGGGACGGCAUCCCUAGAUGUGAGAACAGUACUAUAGAAGGGGCUGGAGAGGACCCUUGUAAGAAGAAACUAGAAAGUACCUAACUCUGGGACAAGGUCAAGAAACAUUUGGUCCUACCAUGCUGUUCUAGGAUGGACUUCUGUUGUCUAUUCCCCCAACCCCUACUACGGGGUCAUAUGCAAAUGCCUGCAGGCACUGAGAUGCAGAUUGCAUGUAUGCUGAGCUUCAGCCUUUUUACAGGAGAUAUAAGACCUCAUCUCAUCUGCCUGCCAUUAAACCUGCUAGAGAUUGGACCUUAGCUGUACCUCUGGAAGCCCAAGCUUGCAUCCUGAAUGCCGAGCCUUGUCCUCAGCUUCCAGCAUACCUCAUCUCAUCAUCUUCUGGCAAGCCAGGGCACUUCCAUGGCCUUCUGAGCCACAGCACCAUCUAGGGACAACCAGCUACUGUCCCAAACCUGGCUGGCAUUCAAGGUCAGCCCCCCCUCCCCCCAGGAGUAUCUCAUUCAACCAGGAUCUCAAAGCACUACACUGGAGUAGGAGGGGAUGCCAGGGCUCAGGCUCUACCCAGAGCUAGACAGCCCCCAGUGGCAGCUUCAUCUGAAUUCCGUGUCAGCUUCUGUGCUGGAGACUGGUGAAAAGAACAGCUCCACCUCAGAGCUCAACAUUUUCUAGCAACUUUCAGGGGCCCCUGAACCCCAGAGUUAAGGUUAAGACCAUUUCUACUCCUUUGUGCUCUGGAAGCCUUCCCAUGCUACUUAGAGCCACAUGGCCUCUGAGAGGUUGGCAGCAUAAGCUGCGUGCCCAAAGUUCAGACAAGGCCUGGAAUGACAAG